rnacentral:misc_RNA from 1 species
GAUGGAGAACGUAGCGAAAUGCGAUAAUUAAUGUGAAUUGCAGAAUUCAGUGAAUCAUCGAGUCUUUGAACGCACAUUGCGCCCCCUGGUAUUCCGGGGGGCAUGCCUGUCCGAGCGUCAUUGCUGCCCUCAAGCACGGCUUGUGUGUUGGGCCUCCGUCCUCCUCCCGGGGGACGGGCCCGAAAGGCAGCGGCGGCACCGCGUCCGGUCCUCGAGCGUAUGGGGCUUCGUCACCCGCUCUUGUAGGCCCGGCCGGCGCUUGCCGACACAUCAAUCUUUUUUCCAGGUUGACCUCGGAUCAGGUAGGGAUACCCGCUGAACUUAAGCAUAUCAAUAAGCGGAGGA